AUGAACGCUAGCGGCAGGCUUAAUACAUGCAAGGUUGAGGGGCAGCAUGAUAUACGCGAGUAUAUUGAUGGCGACCGGCGGACGGGUGAGUAAUAGGUAGGAGACCUACCUCAUACAGGGGGAUAGCAUAGAGAAAUCUGUGGUAAUACCCCAUGAGGUUAUAUGAAUAGAGGCAUAUAAUCAAAGCAUAAGCGAUUAUGCGGUAUGAGAGGGGCCUACUGACCAUUAGCUAGUUGGUGAGGUAAGGGCUCACCAAGGCGAAGAUGGUUAGGGGUUUUGAGAGAGAGACCCCCCCACAUUGGAACUGAGAGACGGUCCAGACUCCUACGGGAGGCAGCAGUAGGGAAUAUUGGGCAAUGGGCGAAAGCCUGACCCAGCCAUGCCGCGUGAAGGAAGACGGCCUUAUGGGUUGUAAACUUCUUUACUACGCGAAUAGAGGUUAGUACGAGAUACUAAUAGGAAGGUAGUGUAGUAAAAAGCACCGGCUAACUCCGUG
rnacentral:rRNA from 1 species